GACGAACGCUGGCGGCGUGCUUAACACAUCCAAGUCGAACGGUGAAGCUCCAUCUUUCUGGAGUGGAUCAGUGGCGAACGGGUGAGUAACACGUGAGCAACCUGCCCCUGACUCUGGAAUAAGCGCUGGAAACGGCGUCUAAUACUGGAUACGAGAAGGGUCCGCAUGGGCACUUUCUGGAAAGUUUUUCGGUUGGGGAUGGGCUCGCGGCCUAUCAGCUUGUUGGUGAGGUAAUGGCUCACCAAGGCGACGACGGGUAGCCGGCCUGAGAGGGCGACCGGACACAAUGGGACUGAGACAAGGCCCAGAAUCCUACGGGAGGCAGCAGCGGGGAAUAUUGCACAAUGGGCGAAAGCCUGAUGCAGAGACGCCGCGUGAGGGAUGACGGCCUUCGGGUUGUAAACCUCUUUCAGAAGGGAAGAAGCGAAAGUGACGGUACCUGAAGAAGAAGCACCGGCUAACUACGUG
rnacentral:rRNA from 1 species